AUUGUCUCUGUCCCCUUAGCAGUUUACAAUGCAGAGUUUAGACUGCCUCUAGUUGCUGUCUCCAAGACAGCCACAAUAGGCACUUCCUCCAUUUACACACUUUGCAUAUGUACGUUCAGUGUCCUCAUAACAGAUUCAAUGCUUUCCUAUGAGAAAGGCCUAGUGCGCACACAAUAGCUACUCCCCAAUGCGAAAUGUCUUUGGCACUGGAAAGAGUUAAGAGUUUAAAUUUUUUUUUAAUCCAUUCAACACUUGGGGGAGGAUUAUGGCUGAGGGAUACUACAACGUUAGGAAUACAAGAGUGUAUUCCCAACGCAAUAGUGUUCCUUUAAUUUACAAUGAAUGUGUUGAGAAAUCAGUCUUUUGUAAUAUGUUUUUCAAAAAUAUUGUUCAAUAAAAAUAAUUUGAUAAUAAA